rnacentral:lncRNA from 1 species
CCUCACUGAAUUUUCUUGGGGGUUCCUUUUCUUGUCUUGUGGUUUCCUUUUCUCUUGCCUCUUUUUUAGCUAUGCAUUCCUGUCCGGUUCCAACAACUCGUCGUCCGUCAGUUCCUUAGGAACCACCUCCAGGAGCUUCUCAACGUCGUUCUCACCCAGGUUAAAGUUGUUUGCCGUCUCAGCCACGGCCUUGUUGACUUUUGCAGCCUCCUCAUCCUUGGCAAAUCCUUUGGAGUCAUAUACGAACCUCCUGAGUGUCUUCUUCCAGAUGCCAUUCAUACACUCCUUGGUGACAUGACUCCAAGCCCAAGCAACGUUCUUGAUGUAGUCGUAGAUGUUGUAAUCCUUCCAGAACUGCAUCAGUGUCUUCCUCAUGUUACUGAACCAGCAGAUCCUUUAACAGCUUCCAUCACUUUGUUCCUGUUCUUCAGGAUCGCAGCUGCGGUGGAAUGGGACAUGCCUGACUGGUUUCACUUCAGGAUCUCCUUGUAUCCUGUCCACUCACCUCUCUCCAGGAUAAAGGGUGUCCUCACUUUCAUGGAACUGCCAGACUGUUUUCCAAAGUGACUUCAUCAUUUUACAUUCCCAUCAGCAAUGUACGAGGGCUCCAGUUUCUCCACAUCUUCACCAACGCUUGUUAUCUUCUGUGUUUUUUAUAAGAGCCAUCCUGAUGGGUGUGAUGCUGUAUCUCAUUGCGGUUUUGAUUUACAUUUUCCUAAGGACUAAUGAUGUUGAGUAUCUUCCCAUGUACUUAUUG